UACAGAGGGUGCGAGCGUUAAUCGGAAUUACUGGGCGUAAAGCGUGCGUAGACGGUUAUUUAAGUCGGGUGUGAAAGCCCCGGGCUCAACCUGGGAAUUGCAUUCGAGACUGAAUAGCUAGGGUACGGUAGAGGGAAGUGGAAUUUCCGGUGUAGCGGUGAAACGCGUAGAUAUCGGAAGGAACAUCAGUGGCGAAAGCGACUUCCUGGACCAGUACCGACGUUCAGGCACGAAAGCGUGGGGAGCAAACAGGA
rnacentral:rRNA from 1 species